rfam:Thalassiosira oceanica strain CCMP1005 To_g02152, whole genome shotgun sequence.
GUGUGAUAGCUUAAUUGGCUAAAGCACGCAACCGGGAUUUGUGGGAUGCUGGUUCGAGUCCAGCUCACCACC